AGCGAACGCUGGCGGCAGGCCUGAUACAUGCAAGUCGAACGGCUCUUCGGAGCAGUGGCGGACGGGUGAGUAACGCGUGGAAACGUGCCCUUUGGUUCGGAACAACACAGGGAAACUUGUGCUAAUACCGGAUGUGCCCUUCGGGGGAAAGAUUUAUCGCCAUUGGAGCGGCCCGCGUUGGAUUAGCUAGUUGGUGGGGUAAAGGCCCACCAAGGCGACGAUCCAUAGCUGGUCCGAGAGGAUGAUCAGCCACACUGAGACUGAGACACGGCCCAGACUCCUACGGGAGGCAGCAGUAGGGAAUCUUGCGCAAUGGGCGAAAGCCUGACGCAGCCAUGCCGCGUGAAUGAUGAAGGUCUUAGGACUGUAAAAUUCUUUCACCGGGGAAGAUAAUGACGGUACCCGGAGAAGAAGCCCCGGCUAACUUCGUGCCAGCCGCCGCAGUAAAAC
rnacentral:rRNA from 1 species